CCACUAUACUACCGACCUACACAGGAAGAAAUCUACAGCCGCUUUCACCUCUUCGUCACUUGAGAAUUGCAUUACCCCAAGUGUUGUUUCAGGUUGGGGACAAAUAGUAGUCACUGGGGCCCAAUCUAGGCCGGUGGUUCUCGAGUCUAGUGGCACUGCGGACAAUAGAAAACGCUUUUAUUGAAGUGCGUUGAACUAAGCGCUCUUGACAAACUUUGCGAAAUAUUAGCAGCAGAACGUGGAAGUGUUUUUUUUAGGUAAGAUCAAAUACAAGUUUCACAAAGUGCAAACGAAACAUUUACCUGGCCAUUUCCUUUUUAUGUAGUAUCAUUGUGUAAACACUAACUUCAGGAGAUAAUCUAUCAGGUGUUAAAUCAUAUUUCUGUAAUCUUCUGCAAAUAGACUCUUAAAAUGA